UGGAUUUGGCUACGAGUUCUUCACAGAUGCUGGGCAAUAUGUCGUGAGAUUUGGCGAAGUCCUCGCUGAUGGUACAAACAGAGCUGGAGUUGCUGGCCAGUACGUUUUGCAGGGUGGCGAGCAAGCUCAAAACGUUGAUCCACAGGUGGAGCCUCUUUCGGUUUCUCGCUCUUUGACACUGACCGAGAGAGCGAUUGUUCUAGCUCUUGCCA